AAUACGUUAGUCUUUGUUAUUUUACUUAGUUGUUUUAUUGUUCAAUGUUUUGCUCUAAUUCUAUUUUUCAAGGUUUUGCUUCCCUACCUUCUCUAAUUAUUCUAUAGAUUCAGCUAUGAUAACAAAGUAGUCAGUAUACGGGAGUUAACCACAGACAGCCAACCUUAAACUGCUCUGCUACGUCCGAAGGACUACGAUACACAGAAGUCGUGCUGACGACCAAAACUUUGAAGGGCUUCUGCCUGAUUGCUUAAUUCAUGGCUGAAUUCAUUGCAGACUCUUAGUUUGUUGACAGACCCUCCAUUCAUGUUUACCCCUCAAAAACCAUUCACCUAAUAUUCUCAGCGAUCCCCAGUUUACAAAGCAAAGGAACCCGUUGAAGCCUUCUAGGUGUAGGAGGUUUACUCUGCUAAGCACUUCUCGUGUAGUUGUCUCAUUAGGAAGUUGACAUUGGUGGUACCUUUCCUGUUUAAGAUCGAACCACUUCUCUUAAAGGCUACGAUGACUUGCGUAUUUGUUUUAAAUUCGUUCCGGCAGUUUAAACGUGAAUAUUACAAUCUUUGUUGAAAUUAGUCGACGGAGAACAACUUCUCCACUCAGAAAUUUGGCAACUAACACAUAGGAAAUAAUUUGUUAGCCGAUGUUAGAAACAGGAACGACAAUAUCUUGUUAGAUUCAUUAGUCCAGGCUAUCUUUGGGUGAGGUAACACAACGAUCUCGAAACACCGGGUAUCCCAAAGUCCUCUUAUGCUAAUGAAUCAAGUAAUUUGUGAUACAAUCGUCUGAACAGAGGAGGUGUUCUCCAUUGAUGACAUCUAACAGCGACAUCCACUUCGACCUGGCGGAAUGAUUAUAGAGAAAUCUAAAGUGACAACAUCAAAGCCAGUGCCAGCCAGAGAAUCUAAGCAAGGCAUUAGGAGUUGGUGCCAGUCUUGACAUAUCAACAACAUCAAUGUAGAAGAUUCUAGUCUGGUACAGGAAAUGAAAAAACCACACAAUGCCUGUAGCUGCAGCUGGCAACCACUGAGACUCAAGACAUUGCAAGGUAUCUUGUGUUUAGGUCUAGGGAAGAUCUGGAAGCAUCUGGUGGGGAUGUGUAAUCUGUAGUUGAGAGAAAGGAAUAUUCUCUGUGGUCAGUCAGUGUUAGGAUGACCAAAUUCAUCCAGCAGGUGCAGGACCUUGUCAUUGAUAACACCAAGGGGUUAAUGAGGGCCAUUGC